ACGGAAACCUGCUUCAGUCCAACAGACUCAAGAGACCCCAGCUCAACCAUGAUCUCCCAAAGGACCUGGAGCUCACCAGCUAGGUUGGCUGACUUUGGAGUACUAUCUGCCUCUGCCUCCCCCACACCGACAUUACAUGCCACCAUGCUGAUUUUUUAUAUGGCUGCUCAGGUCUUCAAGAUUACACAACAGCCCUCCCUCUCUGGAGAAUGUGUGUGAAACAAUCUUCGCAGCUCCUGAGCCCUCCGAUGGUAUCGAUCCAGAUGUGGAAAUUGGUAUUGACUGCAGCUGCUGCUCAGCGCACUUCCCCGGCUUUUAAAGACACAGCGUAUAGGUGAUUUCACUUUGCACAGGACACAGCUCGGGAGACAUUUGCUGAUCCAAACUAAA